CCUCACGGCCUUUACUGCCUCUCUCCAGCCAGCUCCAGCACUACAGGACAGAGAUUGGAAUUAAAUGUCACGUGGAUAAAAGCCAACAUGGCAUUCUGUUAAGAAGAUAGGCAACCUAAAUGAUGUCUAUCCUGCUUCAACGAAAAAACUCAGGAGGCUGUACACUCAUUUAGAGCAGAGUAGACGAAACCUCCUAUGCUCUGGCUUGGGAACCAGGAGGAAUCACUGACUGAGAUUUGCCAACCAGACUUCUAUG